ensembl:lncRNA
GGUGUGCCCGUAACCCAGGUUUAAGAAAUAUUAUUAAUUCCUCAAGCUUUGAAAAUAAACCCUAGCCUCAAUCUGCAACCAGGCAAGAUGAAAGGAAAUGCUAAACUCAGGAUGCCUGUGGAAACAUUUAAAAUCAUUUGCUUAAGAUUUGUCAAUAGAUAUCUGCAAAUGUAAAGACUUACCAGGACAUGCAGGCCUUCAGGAGAAGAGUUUCAAAGUGGUUUACAUUUCAGCUUCAAUAUUUAUAAACAGAAUGAAAUCCGGAGGGAAGGAGCCUGGAGAGAUAAGCCUUUGGUUUGUUCAUUCUACUGAAGCAAGUUACCACGUCAUCUGCUCCCCUAGAGAGGUGUCACUGGACAAGGCACUGAGGGCAGGCCAACAGCCUGCAAAGGACUGCAUCCUGAGAACAACCAUGGGAGGGAGCCUGGAAGCAGAUCCCUCCCCAGUCAGCCUAGAGAUGAUACCGCAACCCUGACUGUAGCCUGUAAGAGGCCUUGAAGAGGUCUUGGGUCCAGCUAAGCACACCUGCAUUCCUGAUCCUCCGACGGCGCUGUGACAUCAAACAGAUGUGUAUUAAGUUUUGGGGUGAUUUGUUAUGCAGCAAUAGGUGACAAAUGGAUGGAUAGGUCCCUUCUAGUCCUGACAGUAUCCUCUGAUACAUAGCCUUCAUUCACAUUGAAAAGAAGGAAAACAGAAAGAACCAUAGUAUUCUGUGAGCAAGUGGAGUCUGAGGAGGACAUAUCCACAGAAACCUCAUUUUCUCAACUCCAGGACAUGGAAUGCAGGUUGGACAGACACAGUGAGGAUAAGCUGUAUAAGGACACCACCUUGAGAAAGGCCAAGCCACAGACCAGAAAAAGCCCAAGUCCUCUGUGACAUACAGAAUAGAGUCGCUGACCAGGUUCAGCUGUCUGCUGACCUCUGUGUGGUGAACAAG